rnacentral:rRNA from 1 species
UAACAGGUUGAUAUUCCUGUACCACCUAUAAUCGUUUUAAUCGAUGGGGGGACGCAGUAGGAUAGGCGAAGCGUGCGAUUGGAUUGCACGUCUAAGCAGUAAGGCUGAGUAUUAGGCAAAUCCGGUACUCGUUAAGGCUGAGCUGUGAUGGGGAGAAGACAUUGUGUCUUCGAGUCGUUGAUUUCACACUGCCGAGAAAAGCCUCUAGAUAGAAAAUAGGUGCCCGUACCGCAAACCGACACAGGUAGUCAAGAUGAGAAUUCUAAGGUGAGCGAGCGAACUCUCGUUAAGGAACUCGGCAAAAUGACCCCGUAACUUCGGGAGAAGGGGUGCUCUUUAGGGUUAACGCCCAGAAGAGCCGCAGUGAAUAGGCCCAAGCGACUGUUUAUCAAAAACACAGGUCUCUGCUAAACCGUAAGGUGAUGUAUAGGGGCUGACGCCUGCCCGGUGCUGGAAGGUUAAGAGGAGUGGUUAGCUUCUGCGAAGCUACGAAUCGAAGCCCCAGUAAACGGCGGCCGUAACUAUAACGGUCCUAAGGUAGCGAAAUUCCUUGUCGGGUAAGUUCCGACCCGCACGAAAGGCGUAACGAUUUGGGCACUGUCUCAACGAGAGACUCGGUGAAAUCAUAGUACCUGUGAAGAUGCAGGUUACCCGCGACAGGACGGAAAGACCCCGUGGAGCUUUACUGUAGCCUGAUAUUGAAAUUCGGCACAGCUUGUACAGGAUAGGUAGGAGCCUUUGAAACGUGAGCGCUAGCUUACGUGGAGGCGCUGGUGGG